rnacentral:rRNA from 1 species
GACGAACGCUGGCGGUGUGCUUAACACAUGCAAGUCGAACGGUAAGGCCCUUUCGGGGGUACACGAGUGGCGCACGGGUGAGUAACACGUGAGUAACCUGCCCUCAUCUCUGGGAUAACAGUCGGAAACGGUUGCUAAUACUGGAUAUGAGCUUGCAAGGCAUCUUGUGGGUUGGAAAGAUUUUUUUGGUUGGGGAUGGACUCGCGGCCUGUCAGCUUGUUGGUGAGGUAGUGGCUCACCAAGGCUUCGACGGGUAGCCGGCCUGAGAGGGCGACCGGCCACAUUGGGACUGAGAUACGGCCCAAACUCCUACGGGAGGCAGCAGGGGGGAAUAUUGCACAAUGGACGGAAGUCUGAUGCAGCAACGCCGCGUGCGGGAUGACGGCCUUCGGGUUGUAAACCGCUUUCAAUUGUGACGAAGCUUUUUGUGACGGUAGCAGUAGAAGAAGCACCGGCUAACUACGUG